rnacentral:lncRNA from 1 species
UUGGAUUUAAUUAUUGACACACGAAUUUGACAUACAAGCAUGAAUUUAACACAUGAAGCUGCCCCGUUUCUGUGCAGUCUGCUCUUUUUUCCUCCCCACAAGCCAUGCCUUAUCCAAUAGCGGUGCGGCGGCGAGCUGGGCAGGCGACGAUGAGCUUCACGGGCGGACACGGCGAGCUAGGCAGGUUGCGACGGCCGGCUUCUGUGCGAUAGCGGACAGCUCCGUGGGCGGCAACGGCAAGCCACCGAGAUGGGCGGGUAGCUGCGAGUUUUGCGCGUGCCGCACGACGGCGUCCAGCUUCGCGGGAAGCAGCGACGAGCAGCUUCCCCGGACGGCGACGGCGAGCAGCCUCGUGAUCGGAUUCGUGCCAUGUCUCCUUCCCAUGUCGAUUUUGCUCACCACCGCACUCGAUCCAACCGAGCCGUGGCCGGCUGGAGAUGACGCUUCCUCGGUCGUCUUUGUUUUUUCAUCGGGCAACCAGCCAGCGUCGUCGCCUCGCAAGACGACAGCGAUGUUCUCUCUCCGUAAUAGCUUCACUUCACAUACGCACCGAACCUACGUGACAAUCGUUGCUGAAGACAAAAAGACGUCUGUUGUACGUGCCUAAAAGAUCCACUGCACGAGGCAAGAAAGAGAUUAAUGGGACAGAUUCCGAUAAUGAGACAGAGAAAACAAUCCGUUGCAACUGCAGCAUAUAUUUGUUGGACGAAAUAUCGAUUAAGCACAAUCGCUCAUGCACGUGGAUGCAGCUCUGGGAAAUCAAUGCAUUUUGGUUGUCUCAUUCAGGGGGAAAAAGGGCAAAAGUCCUCUCUGCCGUGCGCACUAUGAUAAAAAAAAAUCGUUCUCCUGAAACCAAGAAAAAAAAGAACAAAAUACGUCUUGCGUAGGUGCAUUCCCCAUGAACAUGACAACAAAUUUCAACGUUUGCAUACCUCAGUGCUAGAGCGCCUAACUGUUUCAUCAACACGGUGCCCAUACAUUGCAUAUAAAUGUCAAAUCGGUGCUAGCCUCCUUCCCGGAAAGAGGACUGAAGACUAGUGAGUUGAAUCGUCACGAAAAUGAAUGAACAAGGUUGACGGGGGCUUCUCCUGCUUCACUGCAACUCUGCAAGCUGAGCAGCGGCGCGGUUCCGAAGCUCCUCUGAGCACAGAGCCUGCAAGAGGACAGACACGUACGCAACUGGUCGCCUCA